GAUGAACGCUGGCGGCGUGCCUAAUACAUGCAAGUCGAGCGAACGGACGAGAAGCUUGCUUUUCUGAUGUUAGCGGCGGACGGGUGAGUAACACGUGGAUAACCUACCUAUAAGACUGGGAUAACUUCGGGAAACCGGAGCUAAUACCGGAUAAUAUUUUGAACCGCAUGGUUCAAAAGUGAAAGACGGUCUUGCUGUCACUUAUAGAUGGAUCCGCGCUGCAUUAGCUAGUUGGUAAGGUAACGGCUUACCAAGGCAACGAUGCAUAGCCGACCUGAGAGGGUGAUAGGCCACACUGGAACUGAGACACGGUCCAGACUCCUACGGGAGGCAGCAGUAGGGAAUCUUCCGCAAUGGGCGAAAGCCUGACGGAGCAACGCCGCGUGAGUGAUGAAGGUCUGCGGAUCGUAAAACUCUGUUAUUAGGGAAGAACAUAUGUGUAAGUAACUGUGCACAUCUUGACGGUACCUAAUCAGAAAGCCACGGCUAACUACGUG
rnacentral:rRNA from 1 species